rnacentral:rRNA from 1 species
CCUACGUGAGGCAGCAGUGAGGAAUAUUGGUCAAUGGGCGCGAGCCUGAACCAGCCAAGUAGCGUGAAGGAUGACUGCCCUACGGGUUGUAAACUUCUUUUAUAAAGGAAUAAAGUGAGGCACGUGUGCCUUUUUGUAUGUACUUUAUGAAUAAGGAUCGGCUAACACCGUGCCAGCAGCCGCGGUAAUACGGAGGAUCCGAGCGUUAUCCGGAUUUAUUGGGUUUAAAGGGAGCGUAGAUGGGUUGUUAAGUCAGUUGUGAAAGUUUGCGGCUCAACCGUAAAAUUGCAAUUGAUACUGGCAGUCUUGAGUACAGUUGAGGUAGGCGGAAUUCGUGGUGUAGCGGUGAAAUGCUUAGAUAUCACGAAGAACUCCGAUUGCGAAGGCAGCUUACUAAACUGCCACUGACAUUGAUGCUCGAAAGUGUGGGUAUCAAACAGGAUUAGAUACCCUAGUAGUC